rnacentral:lncRNA from 1 species
AUGUUCCCCUGUCCCCAACCCCCGUCAGGUGCCCUGAGUGCUCACCCGUCCCAGGCUCCCUGCGGCCACCUCUCCCUUCGCUGGUCCGGGGCCGGGAACCUGGGGUCUCGUUACCUCCCGCAGCUGCCCCGUGCAGCCCCGUCCCAGCCUCGCCCGAGCCAGGCCCCACCUGUGGCUCCUGGCCUCCGAGCUGCCUGUGGGUCGCACUCAGCCCCGGAGCAGCCCGGCAUGCGGUGGGGGUCCUGUGCUGCUCACUGCCUGGUGGCUUGCCACGUGGGGUCCUUGGGCUUGGGGGCAGCACCUGGGACCCACCACAGCCUCGGGCGGCCCUUCCUGAAGCCCGGCGUUGGCGUCGGGGCACGUGGCUACGUGCACUUUGAGCCUAUAACCCCCAGCUGGGCCGUGCCUGGACCUGCCUGCGAUUUCCUCUUUGAGUCCGCAGGGAACCGGGACUCAGCUGGCCUGUCUGCUGUGGGAGGACGUGGCCUCACGGGCAGCCGGGCCCACGCUGCGCCCCGCGUUGGCCCAGCGAAGGCCCAGCAGUGGAGGGCGCUGCGUGGUGUCAGCGGCCUCCGUGUGUCUGAGUCAGAGGGCUCGGGUACCGGCUUGAAUCCCUCUCUGCCGCUUCUGGCCACGUGCCUCGAGCGACUUCACGCCUCCGACCUCAGUGUCUUCUGGAAAGGAGCUAAUAAUGCUGCCGGGGUGGUGAUGCUGGGGAAGCGUGCAGUGCCCGGCCCUUGGAAAGCUCCCGAAAUGGCGGCACAGUUGGUGGGCUGCUCCUUGAUCCUGGGGUGCUGUGGGGUCCGUAGGUGGGAGGUGACCUCUUCUGGGCAGACCCUGUGUCUGGCCGUCGCGGGGACGGGACUAGCACUCGCCCAGAGCGUCCCACAGCCAGGCUCCUACCCUGUGUCGACCGGCCCGAGUGCCUGUGCUCUCCCAGGCCGGCCCGCCUGUCCCCGGCACGUCCCCCACGCCCCGUGUCCAUCCAUCCGAGGGCGCUCAGGACCUGCUGCUGCUGAGCCAGGGCUGCGGGGCUGA